UAGCUCAGUGGUUAGAGCACUGACUGAUCUUCCAGAGGACCUGGGUUCAAUUCCCAG
rnacentral:tRNA from 1 species